GACGAACCGUGCGAACGUUGUUCGGAAUCACUGUGCUUAAAGGGCGCGUAGGCGGGCUGCCAAGUUUGGGGUGAAAUCCUCCGGCUCAACCGGAGAACGGCUUCAAAUACUGGCGGUCUCGAGGGGGGUAGGGGCAUGCGGAACUAUGCGUGGAGCGGUGAAAUGCGUUGAUAUGCAUAGGAACUCCGGUGGCGAAGGCGGCGUGCUGGACCCUUUCUGACGCUGAGGCGCGAAAGCCAGGGGAGCAAACGGG
rnacentral:rRNA from 1 species